AGUCGUAACAAGGUUUCCGUAGGUGAACCUGCGGAAGGAUCAUUAACGCGCAGGCCGCAGACGGCCCUCCCCCGGACGCGUCCGGGGGGGCGGUGCCGCCGGCCACACGCCCAUUCUUGUCUACUUUACCCGGUUGCCUCGGCGGGCCGCGCCCGCCGGAGGAACGAUCAAAACACGCGAACACCGUCCAGUCUGAGCGUAAAGCGAAGUGAAAAAAUCAGUCAAAACUUUCAACAACGGAUCUCUUGGUUCCGGCAUCGAUGAAGAACGCAGCGAAAUGCGAUAAGUAAUGUGAAUUGCAGAAUUCCGUGAAUCAUCGAAUCUUUGAACGCACAUUGCGCCCUCUGGUAUUCCGGGGGGCAUGCCUGUUCGAGCGUCAUUUCAACCCCUCAAGCCCGGCUUGUGUGAUGGACGACCGUCCGGCCUCUCCCCGCUCCCGGGGAGAGGCGGGACGCGCCCGAAAAGCAGUGGCCAGGCCGCGCUUCCGGCUCCUGGGCGAAUGGGCAACAAACCAGCGCCCCUAGGACCGGCCGGCCCUCUGGCCCAGUUUCCAGUCAAGGACUCGGCGCCUUGCGACAUUCAGGUUGACCUCGGAUCAGGUAGGGAUACCCGCUGAACUUAAGCAUAUCAAUAAGCGGAGGA
rnacentral:misc_RNA from 1 species